rnacentral:lncRNA from 1 species
CGUUACAAUUUGAAGACUCAAGAAUUCCAGAGAAAAACCUUUAUUACCCUGAGGGCUCAGAGUUCAUUCUGGCUCUAUCAGAAAUGAGAGCCUCCUUAUAUAGGAAUCUACAGAGUAGGUGAGCAUGUUCACUGAUGCAGUGGCUGGAGUUAUAGAACAUUCUUGCAAGGGGGCGGAGCCUAACAGAACAUUCUUGAAAGGGGGUGGAGCUUAACAGAACAUUCCUGAAAGGUCACACAGUUCAGUCACAAACCACUGAGAUACAUUGGGUAGCAGCCAAACUUACAUUUCUGGAACAAAACAUUCUGUGGAAAAAAACAAAACAAACAUGGUGGGAUGGUGAAAGCCAGAUGCUCCUAAUGAGUGGGGGCCCAGCACACACACGCUCCCCUUGCUGCUCCCCAUGAGGGAACACAGGAGUCCCGGCUGCUGUACAGAUCUGUGGGGAGGCAGGGAGGUGCUGGUGCUGCUCGAUCUGCUCACCCUGACCAGGGCAGGAUGACACGUCCCUGCUGCUGCGGCAUCACACGGAAUAGCUCCACGGCGCUAACCUUCCAUGUUCUGCCUGUCCUCUUCCCUCAUGAGCCCGGCAACCACCGACCUUCGGGAGCCAUAACUCCCUGAACGACCCACCUGUUUAUUGACUCUUCGGGCUAACCAUCCAGGGGCACCCUUCAGAUCACCUCGGACUUAUUGGG